AUUGAACGCUGGCGGCAGGCCUAACACAUGCAAGUCGAGCGGAUGAAGGGACUUUGUUCCUGGAUUCCGCGGCGGACGGGCGUGACAUGUCUACAAACCUGCCUGGUAGUGGGGAAUACCCUCCGGAAACGGGCGCUAAUACCCCAUACGUCCUGCGGGCGAAUGUGGGGGAUAUUCGGACCUCACCCUACCAACUGAGGCUAGGUCGGAUUAGCUAGUUGGUGGGGUUAAGGCCUACCAAGGCGACGAUACGUAAGUGGUCUGAGAGGAGGAUCAGUCACACUAGAACUGAGACACGGUCCAGACUCCUACGGGAGGCAGCAGUGGGGAAUAUUGGACAAUGGGCGAAAGCCUGAUCCAGCCAUGCCGCGUCGGUGGAAAGGGUCUUCGGAUUGUAAAGCACUUUAAGUUGGGAGGAAGGGCAGUAAGUUAAUACCGUGCUGUUUUGACGGUACCAACAGAAUAAGCACCGGCUAACUUCGUG
rnacentral:rRNA from 1 species